rnacentral:rRNA from 1 species
AUUGAACGCUGGCGGCAUGCCUUACACAUGCAAGUCGAACGGUAACGGGCCUUCGGGUGCCGACGAGUGGCGAACGGGUGAGUGAUGUAUCGGAACGUACCUUUCAGUGGGGGAUAACGUAGCGAAAGUUACGCUAAUACCGCAUAUUCUGUGAGCAGGAAAGCAGGGGAUCGCAAGACCUUGCGCUGAUUGAGCGGCCGAUAUCAGAUUAGCUAGUUGGUGGGGUAAAGGCUCACCAAGGCGACGAUCUGUAGCGGGUCUGAGAGGAUGAUCCGCCACACUGGAACUGAGACACGGUCCAGACUCCUACGGGAGGCAGCAGUGGGGAAUUUUGGACAAUGGGGGCAACCCUGAUCCAGCCAUGCCGCGUGAGUGAAGAAGGCCUUCGGGUUGUAAAGCUCUUUCGGCCGGGAAGAAAUCGUAUGGGUUAAUACCCUGUGCGGAUGACGGUACCGGCAUAAGAAGCACCGGCUAACUACGUGCCAGCCGCCGCCGUAAUAC